GCGGAUGCCAAAUUACCAGAUAUGCAGGCGGGAUGGGAGCAAGCAACUUCAAAUGUAAUGGCUGGUCUUUCCGGUUUAAACAUGGUUUAUGAAGCAG
rnacentral:ncRNA from 1 species